ACGAGUACAAAGCUGGAUGGCCGACACAUCAGUCACCCAUAGGUCAGGUCUGAAUAAUGGAAUGACUCCUCCGGUGGUGGGGAGGAGAAUUGCAGGAAUCCUGUCAGUCAAGGUGUUUCAAUGAAGAUCCAUCCAUCACAGCCAUUCAUGUCCUGCGGAGAGUUGACCAGACGAGACGCAGCUGUGACGUUUCACCGGCCUUGAUGAACAUUGUCAAAUGAAGGCAGAUUUUCCUUUGCCUUUGGUGCAUCAGUACAGAGGAAUUCUCGCCAUCCAGGCAGUAAGAUGCAACAGGAUGAGACAGCACAAAAAAUAUAGAGGCACUCACAGAGCAUCAGAGUAGACAUGUGACUAGGAACUGCAGUGGUACAUAUUUAGGGAACAAAUAUGAAAUAGAAAAAAGGGCCAGGGACCAGGGUUCUAGUCCCCACGAUGGCUCUGUGGGUGGAGUUUGCAUGCUCUCCCUGUGUCAUUGGGGGGAUUCCUGUGGGUUCUCCAGCUUCCUCCCACAGGCCAAAACACAUGCUUGAGGUAAAUUGGAGUUACGACAUUGCCCAUAGUUGAGCAUGUGUUUGUGUGUGAGUGUGCCCCUCAAUGAGCUGACCCCCCAUCCUGGGUUGUCCCCUGCUAUGGGCCCAUAGGCUCUGGGCCCCCUGUGACUAUGAAUAGGACAAGCGGUUUCAGAAAAUUGAUGGAUAGAAAAGAAGUGCCUGAAGUCAAAAAUAUGGCAGAAUAAAGCAGUACAAUAGAACUGUCCAGGAAGGUAUACUGUGAAGUUGUGAGGUUGGAGUUGCCACUCUGUCCAGUAACAUAUAUUGUGCAUUUAUGAGGUUGGAGUAUUAUUACUCUGUCUAGUAACGUGUACUGUGUGUUUAUAAGGUUGGAAUAUUGCCACUCUGUCCAGUAAGGUAUAUUGUACAUUUAUGAGGUUAAAGUAUUGCCACUCUCUUCAGUAACAUGUAUUGUGUGUUUAUAAGGUUGGAGUAUUAUCACUCUGUCCAGUAAUGUGUACUGUGAAUUUAUGAGAUUGGAGUAUAAUCGCAGUGUACUGUGUUACCAUAUUGCGGACGGGUACAUUCUAUUACUAUAGAACUAGUACCAUUAUUGUUGCAUUGCAUUAGGCUUUUAUUGAUGAAUCUGAUUGACACAUUUACAGAGGUGGGUAUUUAUUAUUAUUAUUAGGUGUCUUUAGCCACUAGAUAUGUGGUCGGCCUUAUGCCUCUUGUCCAUCUACCAUCCAGCACCAACACUCAGCAAUUUUCAGUGUGUCACACUGUGGAGCUGUUUACCGAACGUGUUGGGCAGAAAAAACAAUGUUCUGGGAAAAUGCCUGGAAAAUCCUUACUCCUUAUGUGUUGUUUGUUUGUUGUUGUAGCAGCAUUUUUUAGAACCAAAUUUCAUUCCAUAUGGCUGCUACUGAUGUAAGAAAGCUGAGCUUCGGCUCCAUUGAGAACCGUGACUCGCGCACUGUGUCACAAGGUGUAGCUGCACGCGAGGGUCGUGAUUUACAUGCUUUGUGGCAAGGUGCAGCCGCCUACGAGGGCUGUGACUCACAUGUUUUGUAGCAAGGUGCAGCCGCUUGCAAGGGCUGUGACUCAUAUGCUUUAUAGUAAGGCGUAGCUGCAUGCAAGGGGUGUGGCUCAUAUGAUUUGUAGCAAGAUACAGCCAUAUUUCAGGCCUGUGACCCCACACACUCUGUCAAAACACAUAGCCACAUGUAAGGGAUUUGCAUGCUUUGUAGCAAAGUGUAACGUGCAUGUCUGGGCUGUCACUCACACACUCUAUCACAAGGUGUAGCUGCAUGCAAAGGCUGUGACUUAUACACUACUUUACAAGGCGUAGCUGCAUAUGAGGGCUGUGACUCAUACACUACUUUACAAGGCGUAGCCGCAUAUGAGGGCCGUGACUCGCUCACUACUUUACAAGGCGUAGCUGCAUAUGAGGGCCGUGACUCGCACACUACUUUACAAGGCGUAGCUGCAUAUGAGGGCCGUGACUCGCACACUACUUUACAAGGCGUAGCUGCAUAUGAGGGCCGUGACUCGCACACUACUUUACAAGGCGUAGCUGCAUAUGAGGGCCGUGACUCGCACACUACUUUACAAGGCGUAGCUGCAUAUGAGGGCCGUGACUCGCACACUCUUUUGCAGGUCGUAGCUUUAUGCAAGGGGCCUGGCCAUUAAUUAACCUCGCUGGCUUUCAUCCCACGUCCGCAAAUAAAUAGCUCACAAGAAGCACAAACAAAACCAUCAAUCACACAAUGGGCCUCAGGGGACCCAAUCGAUUACUCUGAGGCCUGUCUGUGUGCUGAGAUGGAGUGCAGGCAGCACCUUACUGGGGACGGAAUGCAGCACCAAAGGCCGUGUCUGAUUGAGAUAUUGUUGACUGUGCGAAUUUCAGUGGGAGAGACAUUGCCAAGUGAUUUGUCACUGUUGCCCUAGAGGGAGGACCACUACAACAGACACAUUUAGAAAUAUUAUUACCUCAGCACAUCUACAUCCCAGGCAACCUGCGUGGUUCAGUACCUUACGCUUAGAGUUUAUGCAGCUGGAGCCAGGAAUUCCAUGUGUAGGUCUUCACCACUGGGCGGAGCUGCGGGUCACAGUGCCGGAAUACGAGCCUUGUUUUGGACAGAGACAAGUCGGGCUCUUUAUUCACUGUUCCUGGGCAGCAUUUCCGCAAAAUUUAAGGGCAGAAAUUUACAUGGUUUGCAGGGACCAGCUGACUGAAGAUGGCGUGGGGUCAUUCUCCCCAGUAACAUCAUCCAUACUAUUACUCAGGUUUUUCUGUUUCUGUCCUUGUCUUUUUUCCCAUAUUUCAGCAUCUUCUGGCAGAUAGAGCUGCUCGAUUUGAGACAGGAGCAGAGAUGCCACCUUCGGAGUAUUGAUUUCAGGGAAGCAGAAAAGGGGCAUCCGAGAAGGUGGGGGGUGCUGGCCAGUGCUUGGCUGAUAUUACCGUAAUACUGUAUACAUUGCUGAGUGGGGUUGGAGGGCAACAUUAGCCGACCGUGGCUGGAGAGCAGUGGUAAAUUUGGGGCUACGUUACUGAGGUAAAAAUUCUUGCUGGCCAGUUUUGCUAACUCUGAAUAGCAGAACAACAGACUUCCAGGACACUGCACGUCAUUUGUAGGUGUCGGGGAGAUACUGUCAGUUUGCGGGAGACUCCUGGAACUUCCAGGAAAGGUGGGGUGUCUGCAGGGAAGACCCUCGAGGCAUCCCUGGGGUCUUCAACAUUUGAAGAUAAACAGCUGUUUUCUGCAUACAUGACCUGUUCUCCUGGGGUCUGGUCUCACUCUUGCCCAGAGUGAUUUACAGCUGGGGCUGUUCUCAGAGAGGUUCAGCAGAACCACUCGUACCACCCAAACCGCUAACGUGUGGCUUAUGGGCCUAGUUCUACCAGCAGACUCAGUGCCAAAGGCCCUUUUCUGGCUCCUCCUCCUCUUUCUCCUCAUGAUGUAGCUUCCUUCCUUUGACUCUUCACCUCCCAUUCUUACUUUCACUGUAUUGAGAACGCCAAUGCUAAUGUUGCUCUCAUCUCCCCCAAAAGCCAGUUCCGAUCACACGACCACAUUCUUUCUCUCUAAUUUUCACCCAUCUUUCCUCUUCCUUCCUCCUCCUCGUCAGCAGUGGUUUCUCCAAUAACCACUAAAAAUUCAAUCCACUGCUAUCGUACUGAAUGGGAAACCAAGUGUUUCUCCUUCUCUCCACCCCUGCUCUCUCACGCCUCCUUAUAUCAUGGUCCUGGACCGAGGUGAGGGUCCAUGAACUGGAGGACACUGGGUCAGAUUAAGCAGAAGUUGUGAGCUGUUAGCUGGAUGCUGCUGGCUAGAUCACAGGACUCACUGGGCAGGUUCCAGUGGGUUUCAGUAGUAAGAUGCUGAAAAUUCAGCAUUUACGUUUAAUACUUUUAUCCAGAGCAACGUAUGCUUCAGAAAGCGGCGUUAGCCACUCUCAGUGAGGGUUGCUUAAGGACCCAAUGGCCACAUCUCUCUCUUGAUUGAGGGACUUGAACUGGCAACCUUCUAAUCACAAGCACAGUGCUUUAACCUGCAGAGCCACACACUGCCCCCCUCCCCAGUAUAUGCAAGGGGCCCAUGUCCUACCUGAGUGGGGUCAGUCUAUCCGUGCCUGUGCUCUGCGGAAUGCUGGACAUGUUUAAUUGGCAUAUGGGACACCUGGUCUCCAUCUUGGUCAGGAGGGAGCCAGGUGACACUUCACAGCCACAUGCUCACUAACACCUUCUUUCAUUCUGGCUGCUGUUUACUGUAUAAAUAAGCUUGUCUGUGUUUCUCUCUUUCAGUAUGCAGACCAGAGGGAGAGGCUUGCCAGCCCCCUGCUGUGACAGUCUGAAAAGCCAAAGUUAACUUCUUUUUUUUCUGCAAUGCUGCUGUUUUCACUAGGGUAAUGUUUCCUUAUUCCCCAACCCAGAUAAUCGGUAACAGAAUUCACUGGUGCACACGGCGAUUCUGCUUCCAAAUGCCAAGGACAUUUGACAGGGCACUUGGCUUACAGGUAUUUCAAAUGACUGAAAGUAACUGCGGCAGUGAACCAAAAAAACUCUGCAGUGUGUCUGCUGGCUGCCUUAUAGACUCAGAGAUGGUAUAAUGUGAAUGGUCCAGAUGACAGACGUGCCGUCUAUGGUUCUCAGCCGCUCUGCAGAUCCAGUUUGGAGCGUGGUGCAAGUGAGCGAAGUCAGAGACACUACAGGCUCCCAAAGCACCAUCUUUGCUUUGGGCUUUUCCCUUCCCUUAUCUUUUUUUUGCAGAACAAAAUGUGAAAAGAUGGUGGUCGUGACAGAGCAAGGAUCAAUAAUAAGAAGGAAAAUCUCACACUGAAUCCUUAGAGGGCAGAGCGAUAAAUCAUAAGCGCGUCCAGACGGAUCUCGCUGAGACGGCCGAGCAGGCCCACGCAGAGGAGCAGCCAUUUAAAGAAUAAAGAGUCUUUUGCUACUUCUCUUGUUCACUCUUGGCAGUCGUUGUCAGCGCUCUCCCACGCACACCCCUGGUAAGCAGGACAGGCCAACGCAAACGCCAUUCCGCCAUUCCGCUGCGGAAAAGUGCCAAAAGUCCACUCACUUCCUUUGGGACAGCAAACUGGUCCACAUGACAUGGCAACCGGGGGCAGAAAAGGAGACUUGCAUUUGGGGCACAGGUAUGCGAUGUGAGGGGGGGUGUGACACCCAAACAAAAGGGGGGGGCAGGUAUUCAGGCAGAAAAACAAGAUGGCUGCCGAUGCAAGGAAGGGUAAUAAUGUCUGGUCUGGACAAGGACAGGAAAAACCAUAUGUACACCCUUGAAUAGAAAGGACUCAAGUGAGAAAUGAUUGGGCGAGAGAGGAGCAUGUGACCUGACUUCACUUCACCCCAUUACAAACAUUGCAGUUACAGCAGGCUAACGAUGUAGCAUAGACAUAAACCGCAACCCAACCCACAGAAGGCAGCCUCUACUGGCUGGUGAUUUUAUCACUAUAUCGUUUAUAUUUAGGGCGAUUUUCCUUCAUCCUUAUGCCAGUUUCAGUCAUUUCUGUGUCAGUGCCCAACCCAGUCGCCCACAACAGUAACUCGUUCGUCAGCAGAGGCGUCUCUCUCACGGUGUGAAUCAGUCAGCACGCCAAGCCCCCACAUCGGUGGAAGGUGUGACAUGACCCUCUCCUUUGGCAGCUAGUACAUGAUGGGUGUCUGACAGGCUGAUUGCAGAUACAACCCCCCCCAUGGAAAUAUCAUUUAGCACCUGGUCUCUGUGCCACGCGCCAUACACCCGGCCUCAGUCCCGCCACCACACACCCAGCCUUUGUCCAACCCGCUGGCCCCCCAGCCUCAGUGCCACCCGCCAUACACCUGACCUCUGUCCCGCCUGCCGCACACCUGGCUUCUGUGCCAUCCAUCUCAUACCCAGCCUCUGUGCCACUCACUUCACACCUGGCCUCUGUGCCCACCUCACACCUGGCUGUGCUGCCCCAGCUGUCAGACCCAGUAAAUAACAAGUGAAUAACAGGGAGGAUGCAGCUGUGUGUCUGUGCAUGUGUGUGCGAACAUAAGAACACAGGAAAAUGGGGAAUUUACAAACGAGAGGAGGCCAUUCACCCCAUCCAGCAUGUUUGGGGAGAUCUUAAUUUAUAGCUCAGAGUUGUUAAAAUCUUAUCUAGCACUGAUUUAAAGGAACCCAGGGUUUUAAUUUGCACUACACUAACAGGGAGAUUAUUCCAUACUCUAACUACACGCUGUGUAUGUAGAGAAGUGCUUUCUCAAAUUCAGUUUAAAAUGUUCUCCCGCCAAUUUCCACCUAUGACCUUGAGUUCUAGUAUUUAAACUAUCAUCGAAGCAACUAUUUGGUUGAACAGCAUCCAGACCUGUUAGAAUCUUAUAUACCUGGAUCAUGUCUCCCCUUAGUCUCCUUUCCUCGAGGCUAAACAGAUUCAGCUCAGCAAACCUCUGCUCAUAAGACAUUCCUCUAAGACAAGGAAUCACUCUCGUAGCCCUACGUUGCACCUUUUCCAAGGCAGCAAUGUCCUUCUUAAGAAUGUUCCAGAAGGGACAGAGGCGACGCACUUCUCUAGCAAGUUGAAUCAAACUGCCUCCUUUUUGCGUCAGCCACCCAUUUCCAGAAUCUUCUUCAUGAAGUCGGGGGGCCCUGGGCAGCGUCUAUCGCCGCGUUUGAAGUUAUCCAAGCAGCUGCUGGUAUCCAUGGCCGCCUAAAGCGCCACUCUGCUGCUCGAUCCCAACAAAGAAUGUGACAAAGGAGAAGACGAUCCCUUCGGCCAGUUCCCCCGCCGGAACCUUCCAGAACUGGGCCGUGUUUGUUGACUGAGCUGCUUCUUCUGGAGUUCACCUGAUCACUGGGCUGAGUUGCACAGCUGCUUCAGUGCUAAACGCCGGUGACACAGCAGAGUAGCUCAAACCCAACAACACUGUCACGCUUCUCCUCAUCCAGGUGUUUAAAGGCAAGUUCUGCGCAUUUCCAGCUCCUCCGGGAAAUGAUCACAGUGCGGCAGCUGGUCUACACUCAUCCCCCAGCGGGUGACGGACAGUUAAGAGAAGGCAUGACGGGAGAGAAGACGAGUGGAGGUGGCUGAGACUCACUGAGCCAGCUAACAGGGAACGAUCCCAGAAUCUGAAGGUCUUCUCAAAGUUGGCAGAGAAUGUCCUUACUGUAACAUUAAUGGAAUGUUUUUUCCAUGUUUUACAUUUUAGGUUCUGUCAAUGUCAGCCCCGUAACAUUAAUACGCAAACAUCCUUUUACUGCUGUUAGUGUUGAAAAAAUGGUUUUCAAAUGAAAUAUUAUUUUAUAAAAGCGCUAUAUAUUGCAUAUUGUGCAUGAGCCAAUUCACCUUAAACCCAUGUCCUGUGAGGUGUGAGACAGCAGUGUUACCCGAUGCCUUACCAUGCUCUCUACUGCCUCAUAUACUGCAUGAUUAUUAUUAGAUGUAGUAGUGGGUUAACGUUCUAGGAACAUCAGGAAAACAGGACACUUUGAACAUUUCCAUACCUUAAUUGUAACGUUUGAUAACAGUUCCUAGAACCAAACAUUGUUAGUUCCUCAUUGUUAGUGAGGGAAGCCAUGGGGAACAGAGGCACAACCACAAGAAUCAACUUCACACCAGUUCGUGAUAAAGCCAACUUAGGUGGAAAUCCACCUUGUUGAUAGUUACAUGCAGGGGAGUCGGAAUGGCAUGGAUGCCCUGGCAGAUUUAGAGGGCCCAGCACUAGAUAGAGGCCCUUGUAUAUGUAAAAUUAUAUAUAAAAUUGGGUGGGGGGGCAGAAUUUCUCGAUACAACAUUGGUCACAUGAGUCAAAGUCACUGGGUCUUGAGGGAUGACUCUUUGGUCAUGCACAACGGUCCUUCUGACGUUAGAAGCCAGGGGUGUGACUUGCGAAUAUAUGUGAGAGUCACAGGGUUCUGUAAGUCUCAGUUGAUUCCGAAUCAGAGUUGAGCUAUUUGACCCUGAGCUAGGAGAAUUCAGUGAUAUGUGCUGUUCCCUUCAUACUUCUCUUUACUAAAUUACAUGGCAAAAUCAUUCGCAUCAAUCAAGUGACUCUGAGCACAAUAAACAUGUAAAAGUUUGUAUAAA